AGUCAACAUAACCAAAGGACGUGGAUAAACUCGGGAAACUGAGGCUAAACCGCGAUAGACCAAGAUACCUGGAAUGGUUUUUGAUUAAAAUCUAUAUGGCCUUUGGAUUGGACUGCGACCGAUCAGGCUGUUGGUGAGGUAAUGGCCCACCAAACCUGUAACCGGUACGGGCUCUGAGAGGAGGAGCCCGGAGAUGGGUACUGAGACAAGGACCCAGGCCCUAUGGGGCGCAGCAGGCGCGAAACCUCUGCAAUAGGCGAAAGCCUGACAGGGUUAUUCUGAGUGACUUUCGCUAAGAAAGUCUUUUGACACCUCUAAAAAUGGUGUAGAAUAAGGGGUGGGCAAGUCUGGUGUCAGCCGCCGCGGUAAUACCAGCACCCCGAGUGGUCGGGACGAUUAUUGGGCCUAAAGCAUCCGUAGCCGGUUUUACAAGUCCUCCGUUAAAUCCAACUGCUUAACAGAUGGGCCGCGGAGGAUACUAUAAGACUAGGAGGCAGGAGAGGCAAGCGGUACUCAGUGGGUAGGGGUAAAAUCCGUUGAUCCAUUGAAGACCACCAGUGGCGAAGGCGGCUUGCCAGAAUGCGCUCGACGGUGAGGGAUGAAAGCUGGGGGAGCAAACCGGAUUAGAUACCCGGGUAGUCCCAGCUGUAAACGAUGCAGACUCGGUGAUGGACU
rnacentral:rRNA from 1 species